UACAGAGGGUGCAAGCGUUAAUCGGAAUUACUGGGCGUAAAGGGUGCGUAGGUGGUAAUGUAAGUUAGGUGUGAAAGUCCCGGGCUCAACCUGGGGAUUGCGCUUAAUACUGCGUCACUAGAGUACUGUAGAGGGAAGUGGAAUUUCCGGUGUAGCGGUGAAAUGCGUAGAUAUCGGAAGGAACACCAGUGGCGAAGGCGACUUCCUGGACAGAUACUGACACUGAGGCACGAAAGCAUGGGGAGCAAACAGG
rnacentral:rRNA from 1 species